rnacentral:rRNA from 1 species
CCUGAACGCUGGCGGCGUGGCUAAGACAUGCAAGUCGUACGGAGGUAGCAAUACCUCAGUGGCGCACGGGUGAGUAAUGUAUCGCUAACGUACCCCUUAGUCUGGGAUAGCCGGGGGAAACUCCGGGUAAUACCAGAUGAGAUCGCAGUUUCGCAUGGGAUAGCGCUCAAAGGGCAACCGCUGAGGGAGCGGGCGAUAUCGUAUCAGCUAGUUGGUGAGGUAACGGCUCACCAAGGCGACGACGCGUAGCCGGGCUGAGAGGUCGGCCGGCCACAUU